CAGCAGCCGCGGUAAUACGAAGGGGGCUAGCGUUGUUCGGAAUUACUGGGCGUAAAGCGCGUGUAGGCGGGUCUUUAAGUCAGAGGUGAAAUGCCAAGGCUCAACCUUGGAACUGCCUUUGAUACUGGAGAUCUUGAGUCCGGGAGAGGUGAGUGGAAUUGCGAGUGUAGAGGUGAAAUUCGUAGAUAUUCGCAAGAACACCAGUGGCGAAGGCGGCUCACUGGCCCGGAACUGACGCUGAGACGCGAAAGCGUGGGGAGCAAACAGGAUUAGAUACCCCGGUAGUCCCUGUCUCUUAUAC
rnacentral:rRNA from 1 species